UCCUGGGCCAAUGGCGCACGACGCAGCCUGGUCGCAGUGUGCGCGCCUGGCCAAUGGCGCACGCCCCCCCGGCUCACAUGACGCCUUUCUAUACGUUCUCUCUCCUCUCAGCUCUCAAACGCGGCGAGCCCAGACAUCAUUGCAGACUUGUCACCGGCUGAACCGGACGUCCAGCAUCUACGGUGUGCAGUGACGAUAUGUGCUUUUCUUUUUUCUAUUUUCAAAAAAAGAAAUAAAUCAGCAACAUAAAGAAGAGCACAUGAUGACUCUCACUGCAGAGGAAGGACGCACUUUUUCCGCCAGCAGACGACCGGAGGCGCAUGGGGGCGAGAUAAAAACGCCCAUAAGUUGCUGAAAUGAAUCGUCCUGAAUGGGGCUGCCAUUAGAGGAAGAAACAAGAACAAGUGCCUCUAACCUGAAGCACUCGGGGGGAGGCAGGGAAGCCCCAGAGCAGAACACGACAAGAAAAAGACAAGAGUGAUGAGAGAGAGGUCCAGACAUGAUGGAGGCACAAGCAUGCACACAACGGCACCUUCGGUCUGUCUGUGGUCUACCGCCUGGAUACUCCCCCCCACGCCCAACCAAGUCUGCAUUUGUCCCCGCACGUCACACACACCCUUGCCUUUUGGCCAUACAGUAAGAUGGAUAAAUGUGAAUAUGAGAAAACAUGCCUAAAAGGUUCAACGAAAACCGAAACAUGAGAAAACCAAGGCAAUUUUUCCCAUAGGAAAUAAGGUAAAUCCAAUUAAACUGUUCCAGACACCAAAAAAUAUGAACAAACAAUAAAUUUUAUAGAGAAUAAUUAUAGUUUUACAUGCAGAAAACAAUGUGAAAUAAAUGUAAAUGACGAAUGGAUGGAACUAGCAGUCACACUCGCAGUCAGCAACACGUAGGGUGCUUUGUUUGCGCACUCGAAUUCGCGGGAGCAUAAAGCUCAGGGACUAAUUUGCCAAGUGUAAUACAGUACGAAAGCCGAGACAGUGUACGAAAACAGAGGCAAAAUUCUGGGAAAAAUUUGCCGAAAAAACAAAUCAUAGGGUGUGCUAAAACCGAGGUUCCACGAAAUCAUCUUGCACGGCGAAUCACAAUUUAUUUACAAUGAAACGUGUCUCUUUUAAGACAGUAAUUCAGCGUCAUUUUGCAUAUGGCGUAAUUACGCCUGCACAGGCUUCAGCCUUCAAGCGUGUGUGAAUGUUCAUGUGCGUGCUUCAUCUCUUCUAUUUCUAGCAGUCCAAACCAAUCUCCUCGAGUUUAACAGCUGCACCGCAUAUCCCGCAAACCCCCCUUAACAGACCCCCGCCACACCACCCCCUGACCCAACCAGGGCCCCUCCCAAACCUCAGCAUCCUGGACUCUCCCUCCAAAAACACAUGCCCCCAAAUUACGUGUGGGAACCCCUCCUUCCUACUCCGCCGUAAGAUGAGGUCAGACCAGCUAGAAUCUUGUCUGAAAAUAUAUAGAGUAAUAUAUAGAGUAAUAUACAUAUAUAUAUAUAUAUAUAAAAAUAAUAGUUCAGAAAUAGGUUAUUGUUGAAAGCCUUGCUAGUUUCCAUGGGAAGAACUGACACCACUCAGACUCCUUCAGUUGGCCUUUGGCUGAGUAGCUGCUCAUUUCUUCCCGGUCCUGAUGCUCGGCUCGAAUGUGAUUUCUGGCUAUUAAAGCACUCGAGAAUCAGAGGGGAAGGGACUUGCUCUGUUAUUGGGUGCGUCUUAUCCGUGCUGCCAUUUUACUGCAAAAUGCAAAUGACACGGCACGGCUUGUGUUGGCGACUGUAGGGCGCAUUGGCCCGGUGACGAUAAUGACGACGUUAUUAUUCGGCGCCCUGAGGAGUAUUUCUCUGCAUUUUAGGUGUGCAUGCGUGUGAUAGAGAAAGAGAGGGAUAAAGCAAGAGCGGGUACUCUUCCUCCUUCCUCUUCAGACAGCUGAGUGGCUAUUAUUCACUUCUCCCUCACCCGCGCCAGUAUGUUACUCUCCCCUGGCAUCAUUGACUACUGCUCGCUCACACAGACGCACGGCUUUGGUCUCAAGAUGGAGACAUCCUUUGAUAUUAAAGGUUGUAUAAGAUGAGCAAACCAUAAAGUACAUUUUCUAAUCGGUAGAAUGAAGGCGCUCGAUAUUCAGACAGUGUCCAUCAUUUCCUGUGUGUGUAUGUGUCUGUCUGUAAUUGCAGGGCAGCAGAUGAAGAGAGAUGACAGUCCAGCUGUGACGAGUCAGACGAAUUCAACCCACGCACACGCACGCACACACACACACACACACACACACACACACACACACAGCCAGAGGCGCGUGAGCAGGUGAACAUUAAGUCAGGCAACUAAACAGAUCACGUCGCGGGUUGAUAUCAGCAGACAGACAGAGUAGGCCGGUCUGUACCUGCAGGCAGUCAGCAGCACCCUCACCAGGAAUGUCCUCCCACUUGUGAGACUUGCAUGACUUUUCCUGGGCUUUCCUCUCUAACAGCGAAGUGCAAACGGGCUCAUUGUACAGCUGACACUGGCUGUCAAAUUCACACAUUUGCCACUCAAGAUUUGCGCCCCCGCAAAGUCGCGGAUUUUUCAUUAAAAACAUUUUUUAUUUAAAUUUUGUCUCAGAAAAUAUUUUUUCCGCAGAAUCAUUUCUAAAUACGUGAUAAUCCAGAUAAUAUGUACAGCAUACAUGUACCAGCACACAAUUCUGUGUCACAAUCAAAGUGUCAUUGCUAUGGCAACCCCCCCAUUAACUGCUUUAGUGCUCUGUACCAUCAGUGGACCAGCCUGGACCACCGCAUACCUUUUUCAUCACUCAACAAAAAUAUAAAAACAAACACUUUUGGUUUUGCCGACCUCGAAAAUCUAAAACUUUUUCUAUGUACAAAACAAGCAUGAUUAUCACACAGAUUUACCACAAGCUGGCCACAAUAAAAGGCUACUCCAAAAUAUGCAGUUUUACUGUACUGCGGCCAUUUUUAAUUCCACAAACGCACAGCACGACGUGUGACGUUUCCGGGACACAUUGCGUUCACCUUACACCAGUGCUUCUCAAUUAUUUUCUGCCACUAUUUGAGAAGCCUUACACCCACAUACAUACCAGUCGCAUUGUUUUGGGUAACGUGAACAUCCACGUAAAAACAAUAGGCGUCAUACCAUGCAGUGUGAAUGUAGCCUUCGUCAUUCAUGAGCACUGCUACAGAAAAAGACGAAAACAUAACAGGAAAUGAAUUGAAAGAUAAAACUGUUCCCCAGCACCCUUCUGCGGUGUCAUUAGAACUUCAACCUGAGCCAGGAAAAGAAAAGAUGAUUCAUUGACAUUCACAUGCCACUCUGAUAUUGACUACAGGCGCUUCCUUUGUUAUUUUGGAGUAACGUGAUCGUCCUUGUAUGAAUUUGUCUUUCUGGAAUUACGAGGAUGUUUCGACAAGGUCACCAGUAUCUAUUACGAAGACUUGUUCUGCUAGUUGAUUCCACAGAGCACCUUCCAUGUGUAUUUAUUGAUAAUUUACGGUGUAUUGGAAGGAUUUAGCUGGAACCAAGUGUAGGAGCGACUAAAUAAGGAGAGCUAAGAGUGUGACGAUUUUGUAACCUCCACAUCAAUCUUACCAUGCUCUUAUUAAGCAGAUCAGCCAUGUUCUUGUGAACACGUUCUUUUUUGAACACUUCCUCAUCUGUGGUUUUAUGCCUUAUAGAUCGACUGAAAACCUUUUUAUAAGUCUGCUUUUGCGCCUUCACUUAUCCAAAGAUGACUCAGUGGUUAAAUGUCAGAGCUGUCCGUGCCAUUAAGGCCAACAUGUUUGACGGCUGGACACCCUGAACCCUUCCCCCUACUGUCUCUUCUUAUUCCUUCCUCGCCUUCAUCCGCCAUCAUCCAUCUCCCGCACAUCCAGGCUGGUUGGAGGGCUGAUGUGUGUGCAGACCUUGUCAUUCACAUUAGGGCCACAUUGUCAGCUCAGGGCCCUUCCCUCUCUCUCCCUCCCUCUCUCUGCAUGGCCCAGAUCUUUCUUCCUGUCACUCCCGUCCCGCGGCCAGAGAAGACCUUAUAAUGCAACAUCCUUCACAUCCACUUGUCAAUUCCAGCGCUGUCAUUCAAAUCGCGUUACGUGAGAGCGCACAGAGGCCAAGUUUGCAAAGUCGCUCGUAGCGAAGGCCUGUGCGGCAGUGGCAAUUGUGGUCUUGUUUGUGCACCGAGAUAGAAGAUGACGACGCAGGUAAAAAUGAAUGACUCUGAGGCACUAAAAAGUAGUUGUGUCAGUGGGUUAUGUGUGUCGUAUGACCUUAUCAACUUACUCAAUCCUUUGUGUGUUCUUUCUAAGCUUUGCAUACUGCUUAACUGCUGACUCCCUCUUGACUCACCCUUGUAGUUUUCAAUUAGCACAAUAACGCUGUUGCACGGAACACCACAAUCACCUCAGUGUUUUGUAAAACCUUUCAUGCAAGGCGUCGGGCAGUUUUACUAGUUGAAACGCAGCCCUAAGGUUUACAUCAUUGUGAAACCGAUUAUUAAUUUAGUUUACAGUUUCAUCCUCCACCUUGCAAGGGGCCCUUGAGGCAUGAUGGAGCCUCCGAAGAGACCACACCACUACCACACGACGCAUGUUUUCUAAAACCCACUAUGACUCACCAGUUUCAGGAUGACUGCUCUCUCUCGACUGCUACUUUAAGGGAAAUAAAGCCGCCUUCUAAACACCAACAUCAUCAUAAUGAAGCUGUGUCAUCGGAGUUAAGUGUGUACAACACCCAGUGUUGACAUUGCUGGCAUUUAACAGUAAGACAGGCAAAGCCAGUUCUUUGUGCAAUGGAAAACACAGCUUGUAGCGACUCAGUAACAUUUCUUGUUAUAUUUAUAUCAACAUCACAGUUCCUCUCUAUUAAUCCCGUUUCCACUCUUAAUUUGUAGAUUCAGUAGGGAGUGGGUGCGUGCAAGUAUUGUGGGGGUAUAUGCAUAUAUAUGCAAAUGUGUGUCAAAUAAGCUUACUUUGUGUAAAUCUGCGUGGGGGGGGGCGGCAUUUGCACAUAGUGGCAUGAGCCAAUGAAUGUUAAAGUGUGCUAAAAAGCCUCUCAAAGACCAGAGUGCAGGGAACAGAGAAGUUGUGUUUUGUCCGUCUACAGUCACCAUCAGGUGUUUGCUCGCCCCAGUGAACAUUCAACGCUGUCGGUGAGUUUAUCUAAAUUGAAAAAACCAUCGACCGUUGAUUGUACCCUGUAGCAGGCGCUUACUCCAAAAAAAAAAAAAAGAUACUCCUUGAACCAGCAAAGGAAGAACUCUAUGACCCUCGGAAGCAAGACGAUGAUUUUUUUUUUUUUUUUUUUUAAAGAAAAGCAACCACAAAGGUCACAAUCAACAUUCAUUGCUGUCGGUGGGUUUAACUGUAUAGAAGAGCUCACUGAACGAUGAAUGCAACUGUGUCCCAGAUUUCAGCCGACCAUCACAACGAAUAAUGUCAUGAUAUGCUGAUGGUGCCAUUGUUUAUAUCUGUGCCUGCCCCCCCACUGGGCCUUCCACCAAUAACAGGCAAACACAGCCUGCACGAACUGACAGGAAGUUCAGAUUGCAUCUCGAUCACGUUGGCUGUGCUGGAGGGUUUUGUGUCUAGCGGGAGGAGGGGAAUAUCAAAAGGAAAAGAAGAUGCAGAGAUAGUUGGCAAAUAUGACCUAUAAAAGAAAAUUACAUUUACUUAUAGGAUAUAUGAUGUAGUUGCAAAUAUUAGCUAAAAAUAAAAAAAAACAAUUACAUUUAUGGGAUAUAUGAUGUAGUUACAAAUAUUAACUAAAGAAAGCAAGGAAAUGUGCAAGCAAACUGUAUAAUAGAAUGUGCAUUAAACUUUAUAUGACCAUGCCAUUUUUGUUUUGAACCUACAAGUUUGAACAGAUACUUUUGGAUGAAGAAAUAAAUGCUGUACAUGAACAUAAUUACGUUAUUGUUUUUUUGUUUUCUUUAUUUCAUAUGCAUUGUUUGUUGUAUUGGUGUUUAUUUUUAUUAAAUUAUCUCAAAUAAAUACCUUUUUUCAUAAACUGAUUUGGGUUUUUAUUAUUAUUUAACAACUAAACAAUAAAACAUGUUUAAAAAUGUUUUUAAAUGACUGAGCUUGAAUAUACAAUUGAGAAUAAAAUACAUAAACACUGGGUAAUUCAUGUGUGUGUGGGUUUGUCUAAAUUAAAUUACGGUAAUAUAUAUUAUUCAAAAGAAGUGCUUUUGGUAAUGCAUUGGAAUUUUGUACCUCAUCACACACAUAUUACUGUAUUCCUGUUAGUUAUGACUAACUGAAAGAAUACUUUUAUGAAAAUAAUUACCACAAUCUCAAUGAAAUUAUGAGUCAGCAUAUAAACCGUCGACAGAGGGGAAAACAACUUUUAGGCUGCAAUGUUUUUUCUUUACAGUGUGAAAUUGUUAUGUCUACAUACUCUGUCAUAAACAUGUUUUUUCACUGCAUAAGAAAAAAAAUAUUAUAGAUAGAAAAAAUAAUGAAUACAGUAACAGUGGAUGGAAAACAGCAUGAAACCGUUUGUGCUUGAGGUCAAUGAGAGGAAUAAUGCAGGUGAAAGGCCAGCACAAAAGGCCAAAGUAAUAUCGGGUAAAUUAUUACAUAUGACAUGACAUAAAUGUAUGAUCUUUGGCAUGUAUAAAUCCACAAAAUGAUAAUACUUGUAACAGUUUGUCUUGAUAAAAGCAAAAUUUUGUGACUUCCUUUGGCCACUAGAGGGACACAGUACACAGCACAUGCAAGUAAAUGACUCAUCCAGUUCAGGUGUUUUUUUUUUCCUUUAUACAAAUUAAAUGAUAAAACAACAAACAUAAAACAACAAUUCAUAGUCACAUGAAAAGAAAGCUGCUUGUGACUAAUUUAAAAAGCAGCGAGGGUUCAUUUGUCUUUUUGCUGACACUACAAAAUCAUUUUGAAAAUGUUCCAUCAAUGUAGUACAAAAUAAUUGUUUAGCUCAGCCUUCAUCAGCGUACUCUGCUACAAUUAAUGCAGUUAAAUGUUGUUUUUAGAAUGAAUGAUCAGUAAUAGACAUGGAGAAAAGGUAGGCUUAAAUAAAGCCUCGGUCACAACCGAUCGCAGAGGCUCCCACGGCCGGUCUACAUGCAAAAAACACAAGAAAUUCGUAGAGGGCGCCCGUGUGACGUGCUGAUUUUCGAGCCAUAGACUGGCCGCAGUGGUUCUUUGUCAAGUCAAUCAAAUGCUAGGGGCGCUUAUGUUUUUUUUUUCCGUUUGCAAAACAAACUAACACAUUUAGUACGUCCUCGUGUGACACCCGUACGGCCAACAUGUGUCUUUCGUAUGUUUUGCUGGUGUCAGGUUUGGGAAAAAUAUAAAUUUUUUUUGUAUGUCGCAGUUGCGGACGCCGUAUGUGGGGCGCACGACACACAUACAGCGUAAUUAGUCCCCGUUCAGAUAUUUUGUACCCUCUCCAUGCGUGUCGAGUAAGCCGGCCGUGUGUUGUCUGUCCAGCGAGAGUGCAUCAAUUGCACAAAAACCCCGUUACAUAAAACUGCAGGGGUGCCUACGUCAUUUGUACACACUGUGCGGCAUUUUAUGCUUUGUUUUAUAGUAUCUGUAUUUGCAUUUAUUCAUGUAUAUUUGUUUUUUCCUGUUUGCUAUGUUUCUAUCGUGAUACAUACAGUGGUGUGAAAAAGUGCACCCUUCCUGAUGUAUUAUUUUGUUGCAUGUUUGUCACACUUAAAUAUUUCAGAUCAUCAAAUUUAAAUGACAACACAACUGAACACAAAAUGCAGUUUUUAAAUUAAACUUAUUAUUAAGAAGCAAAACGAAUCCAAACCUACAUGGCCUUGUGUGAAAAAGUGAUUGCCCACUAAACCUAAUAACUGGUUGGGCCACCCUUAGCAGCAACAACUGCAAUCAAGCGUUUGUGAUAACUUGCAAUGAGUCUCUUACAGCGCUGUGGAGGAAUUUUGGCCCACUCAUCUUUGCAGAAUUGUUGUCAUUCAGCCACAUUGGAGGGUUUUCCAGCAUGAAGCACCUUUUUAAGGUCAUGUCACAGCAUCUCAAUAGGAUUCAGGUCAGGACUUUGACUAGGCCACUCCAAAGUCUUCAUUUUGUUUUUCUUCAGCCAUUCAGAGGUGGACUUGCUGGUGUGUUUUGGAUCAUUGUCCUGCUGCAGAACCCAAGUUGGUUUCAGCUUAACGUCACCAACAGAUGGAGAAUUCAUGCUUCCAUUUAUCACAGCAAGUCUUCCAGGUGUUGAAGCAGCAAAACAGCCCCAGACCAUCACACUACCACCACCAUAUUUUACUGUUGGUAUGAUGAUCUUUUUCUGAAAUGUGGUGUUACUUUAUACCAGAUGUAAUCACACACACCUUCCAGAAAGUUCAACUUUUGUCUCAUCAGACCACAGAUUUGUAAAUUGAGACCAGCCUUAAUGUUCUUUUUGUUCAGCAGGGGUUUUGGUCUUGAAACUCUGGUUCACCACUGUUCCAUGUUUUGGCCAUUUGUGGCUCUCACUGUGGUUUGCUGGAGUCCCAAAGCUCUAGAAACAUUUUUUUUUUCCCAGUUUUUCACACCACUGUAUGUACUGUAUAUUUAUAAAAUAUGUUGAUUCCUGUUGCAAUGCAUAUUAUUUCCGUGAAUGGAUAUGACGUAUACGCCUCUGGUGCAUCUGUGCAUGUGCUCCGUGAGGUACGAUGAAUAAAGACGAUCUACAUGCUG